UAAGAAAGGAAGUUCCAGAAUUUCAGCAGUUUGAAGAAAUAUUUCCUUUUGUUGAGCAGCCAUGAAGAACAAAAUUAUUCUACUGUAUGAAGGCUGCAAGAUCAAAUGAGGCAUAAGUUGAAGGAAAAUGGAAAGUUAUAUCUGUGAGUCAACUAAGUUACUAUGGUCAUCAAGUUUUUCCCAGCCUUUCUCUUCCCUCCUUCCUUGAAGUCCCAGCUGCCAUGGAAAUCCUGCUCUCCAACACCACUGAAACUUUCAGAAGCCUUUUACUCCUAGCUGUGUAACCCUAAAAUUUGUGGAUGAAAAAGCACUCUAUAAAUGGU
rnacentral:lncRNA from 12 species